GAUGAACGCUAGCGGCAGGCUUAAUACAUGCAAGUCGUGGGGCAGCAUGAGUAGCAAUACUUGAUGGCGACCGGCAAACGGGUGAGGAACACGUACACAACCUUCCUUCAAGCGGGGAAUAGCCCAGAGAAAUUUGGAUUAAUACCCCAUAAUAUAUUUGAUAAGGCAUCUUAUUAAUAUUAAAGCUUCGGCACUUGAUGAUGGGUGUGCGGCUGAUUAGAUAGUUGGCGGGGUAACGGCCCACCAAGUCUACGAUCAGUAGCUGAUGUGAGAGCAUGAUCAGCCACACGGGCACUGAGACACGGGCCCGACUCCUACGGGAGGCAGCAGUAAGGAAUAUUGGACAAUGGACGAAAGUCUGAUCCAGCCAUGCCGCGUGAAGGAUUAAGGUCCUCUGGAUUGUAAACUUCUUUUAUAUGGGACGAAAAAAGGGCAUUCUUGUUCACUUGACGGUACCAUAUGAAUAAGCACCGG
rnacentral:rRNA from 1 species